GGCAGUAUUCUCUCCCUUUCCAAACAUCCCACUUAGAUAACAAUAGAAACUAUCAGUGGCAUCUGACCAAGGUAGCCCAUCACUUAAAUAGGCAUGUAUUUUUCUUUUCAGAAUGACCAGAAGAGUCCUCUAGUGACAAUGUUGAAAUAUGAUGAAUCCUGUAACAUGAUAACAGAAGAAUUUAUUUACCAGAAUGCCUCUGAGGGAGCACUAUAAUUCACCUGGCCAUUGGGAACCUUGAAGAAUCUGCCUACAAUCUGCAGCCAAGCUUCUUGGGAAUGAUGGAGUCACUGUUUCAGAGGUAAGAAAAUAUUUUCACCCCUAUCAUAGGCUCAUUGGA
rnacentral:lncRNA from 1 species